CCUACGGGUGGCAGCAGUGAGGAAUAUUGGUCAAUGGUCGGGAGACUGAACCAGCCAAGCCGCGUGAGGGAUGAAGGUACAGAGUAUCGUAAACCUCUUUUGUCAGGGAACAAAUGCGGGGACGUGUCCCCGGACGAGUGUACCUGAAGAAAAAGCAACGGCUAACUCCGUGCCAGCAGCCGCGGAAAUACGGGGGAUGCGAGCGUUAUCCGGUUUGAUUGGGUUUAAGGGGUGCGCAGGCGGUCUGUUAAGUCAGCGGGAAAGGCCCGGGGCUCAACGACGCCCCGCCUUUGAAACUGGCAGUCUCGAGUUGGAGAGAGGUAUGCGGAAUGCGCGGUGUAGCGGUGAAAUGCGUAGAUAUCGGGCAGAACACCAGUUGCGAAGGCAGCAUGCCGGCUCCACACUGACGCUGAGGCACGAAAGCGUGGGUAGCGAACAGGAUUAGAUACCCUUGUAGUC
rnacentral:rRNA from 1 species